rnacentral:tRNA from 1 species
AGGGGUAUAGCUCAGUGGUAGAGCACAUGCUUAGCAUGCACAAGGUCCUGGGUUCAAUCCCCAGGACCUUCA